GAUAAGAACGUAGCGAAAUGCGAUAAGUAGUGUGAAUUGCAGAAUUCAGUGAAUCAUCGAAUCUUUGAACGCACAUUGCGCCCUUUGGUAUUCCUUAGGGCAUGCCUGUUCGAGCGUCAUUUAAACCUUCAAGCUCAGCUUGGUGUUGGGUGACUGUCCGCUUCACCGCGGACUCGCCUCAAAAUUAUUGGCGGCCGGUACAUUGGCUUCGAGCGCAGCAGAAACGCGAACUCGGGCCCGUCGUAUUGGCUCCCAGAAGCUAUCUUCACAAUUUUGACCUCGGAUCAGGUAGGGAUACCCGCUGAACUUAAGCAUAUCAAUAAGCGGAGGA
rnacentral:misc_RNA from 1 species